UGGCAACACAACCAUUAGGAUGAUGCCUUGAGCCUUCUUUCUUCAUAUUUCUUAGACUUCCUUUCUGACCUAGAGGAGCCACAAGGACUUGGGACUUGUCAUACCAUCCAAUCCCAAGAAAUGACAGGAAUGAAGGAAUUUUUAAAAAUUCAACUCAUUUCAAACAUCAAAUUGCAGUUGAAGUAACGGCAGAGGGAAAAGCAAGGGCAACAACAACAAACCACUUCACUCCUCUGGGUGGAAACAUGCAAUUGUACCAAGAGGGAUAAGGAAAAAACUGCUCAUGUUUGCAGAAAGAAGUUGGAAUAAGGGCGUGAAAGCAGGCGGGCUACUUUAGCAUCUGAUGCCAGGGAUAUGAGAGAGUAGCCCAGUGUGUUCAUUCAAAAAGUAAGGCUCUGAGGCCAGGACCAGGAAAGAUCUUGGAGUCCCCAGUCACAAUGGCAUGAAGCAGGAUGAUGCAGAGAGGCUAAGGGGGUGAUUCAGUGGGUUCUUUACCUAUAAAAAUGAUGGAAACCCCAACAUCAGCUGGGCAAGUGGCCCUGUUCAGAGCUCCUGGACUCGCCAUGACUAAAACACUUUUUCUCAAAUAGGACUGAUCAGAUAGUAAGUGCUCCAUAUCUGUAGGAUACAUAAAAGAGCAAAUGAACAAGGAGCAGGAGAUAUUGUGGCUGACGGUUGGACUAUAAUUUUUUCUUGAUUUUUCUGACUUUAUUUUGGCUGUGAUCUAGGAAGUGAAAUCCAGGUCCUUCUAAACCCCAAUUUAACUGUGGCUCCUGAGGGAGAUUUUCAGAUCUCAAAUGAUCUUCUGAUCUUAUACUUAAGCAAUUAUGUAGAUUAUCUUGGAGUGUUGAGCUUAUUGCUCUCAUUAGAUGUUAGUAAGUGGAAACUGAGUCCACAAUUUUCACAACCAUCCAAAUUCUGAUGUAAUCAGCAGAACUUAAUAUGCCACUUUGAGCACAGAACCAAGUACUUUAGAGUCAUUUAAAGAAUGUCAUAAGGAAAUAGAAAAUAAAGGAAACAUUGCAGGAAACCAUAGGGGGCUAGCUGAUUCAUGGAAAAUGUGAGGUUAUGGCUGGGUCUUUAAGAAUAAGUAAAUCAUUGGUGACUAUGGUUGUAGAGGUUAGGACAGAGAAAGCUGGAGCAACAAGCAAUCAUCUGCCAGGGGCCAGGGUCAGUGGUUCAAAUAAACAUGGUGCCCCACGGAGAUGGCCUGUGGCCAAGUAGCUCUCAGUGGGUUGACUCAAAGUCACCUGGACAGGCUUGGCAGAAAAGCAGGAUGGCCCAGCCCUUUCCUAAUAGGUUUUCCAGAGUUGAUCCAUCAUUCUGCCCAGAAAAGGGGAGAAGAAAAAAUAGAUCACGAGCCCCUAUGACUGUGACUUGUGCUUCCUUAGAAAUGCAAACAGGUGAAGGAGAAAAUGACACAGCUAGGGUGGUAGGGGGCACUGGAAGUCAACACAUUUCUGGGUUCAAAUGAGAAGGGUGAGGUGCUGGCAUGGAGGAAACUGGCACUGGCCGUCUCCAGGCAGGACUUUCUGGGCACUGGGCAAGGCCAUGGCUUUGGGAGCUGCCCCAAGCUGCUGGUCGUGCCAGUGCUUCAUUCACCCUGUGAAAUGUAUUAAUUAGUGAGUGGUUUUGGCUCAGAGAGAGUUGCCGUGGCUUCAGAUGGAUAUAGCAGAAAAAAGGCAAAUCCAUCUACAGGCGCCUCUGAGAAAUCUCAGCUCUUGUGAGCCUGAGAAGAGCUUCCACUAGAGAGAAGGCGAGACCCCAGCAAAGUUGGACGGAGAAAAUUGAGACACCCACACCAAUUAGUAUGAGUCUAUCAAUCCAGUGCCACCGAAACACAAGUCUAAGCCUAACAGAAUCUGUGCUGUGAAUAAGUAAGAUUGUUGGGUCUCCUACCUACUAGAUGAAGCUGAUGGGGACAUUCUCCCAAAUGAGAAAGCGAUGGAAAGUUGUGACCAUCAGAGGAAGAUCAGAGAUCAAGCCUUGUUGAUGAGCUAUGUGGAUGAGUGUUUGCGUGGAUUUCUUUUAAAACUAUAUUGCUAAAUAAUCUUGCCCCC
rnacentral:lncRNA from 1 species